rnacentral:rRNA from 1 species
GAAGGUGGCGAGCGUUGUUCGGAAUCACUGGGCUUAAAGCGCGCGUAGGCGGAAUGGAUAGUGUCUUGUGAAAGCCCCCGGCUUAACCGGGGAAUUGCUUGACAUACUUCCAUUCUUGAGGUAAGUAGGGGUACAUGGAACUCUUGGUGGAGCGGUGGAAUGCGUAGAUAUCAAGAGGAACGCCAAAGGUGAAGACAGUGUACCGGGCUUAUUCUGACGCUGAGGUGCGAAAGCGUGGGGAGCGAAAGGGAUUAGAUACCCCUGUAGUCCACGCCGUAAACGAUGUCUACUAGGUUGUGGAGGUUCUGACACCCUCACAGUCGAAGCAAAAGUGUUAAGUAGACCGCCUGGGAAGUACGGUCGCAAGGCUA